rnacentral:rRNA from 1 species
CCUACGGGAGGCAGCAGUGGGGAAUAUUGCACAAUGGGGGGAACCCUGAUGCAGCGACGCCGCGUGAGUGAAGAAGUAUUUCGGUAUGUAAAGCUCUGUCAGCAGGGAAGAAAAUGACGUUACCUGACUAAGAAGCCCCGGCUAACUACGGGCCAGCAGCCGCGGUAAUACGUAGGGGGCAAGCGUUAUCCGGAUUUACUGGGGGAAAAGGGAGCGUAGACGGUUAUGCAAGUCUGAAGUGAAAGCCCAAGGCUAAACAAUGGGACUGCUUUGGAAACUGUAAAACUGGAGUGCAGGAGAGGUAAGCGGAAUGCCUAGUGUAGCGGUGAAAUGGGUAGAUAUUAGGAGGAACACAAGUGGAGAAGGCGGCUUACUGGACUGUAACUGACGUGGAGGCUCGAAGGCGUGGGGAGCAAACAGGAUUAGAUACCGUAGUAGU